UUAUACACUUGUUUUCAAACA
ensembl:piRNA 21ur-4643 ncRNA